CCUACGGGUGGCAGCAGUGAGGAAUAUUGGUCAAUGGACGGAAGUCUGAACCAGCCAAGUAGCGUGCAGGAUGACGGCCCUAUGGGUUGUAAACUGCUUUUGUAUGGGGAUAAAGUUAGGGACGUGUCCCUAUUUGCAUGUACCAUACGAAUAAGGACCGGCUAAUUCCGUGCCAGCAGCCGCGGUAAUACGGAAGGUCCAGGCGUUAUCCGGAUUUAUUGGGUUUAAAGGGAGCGUAGGCUGGAGAUUAAGUGUGUUGUGAAAUGUAGACGCUCAACGUCUGAAUUGCAGCGCAUACUGGUUUCCUUGAGUACGCACAACGUUGGCGGAAUUCGUCGUGUAGCGGUGAAAUGCUUAGAUAUGACGAAGAACUCCGAUUGCGAAGGCAGCUGACGGGAGCGCAACUGACGCUUAAGCUCGAAGGUGCGGGUAUCAAACAGGAUUAGAUACCCCAGUAGUC
rnacentral:rRNA from 1 species